rnacentral:rRNA from 1 species
AGUAACACGUGAGUAAUCCACCCUCGGUACCGGAAUAGCCCGGGGAAACUCGGAUUAAUGCCGGAUGGCCCAUUUGCUCUUCGGAGCUGAAUGGAAAAGAUAGCUUCGGCCUUCGACUGGGGACGAGCUCGCGGCGGAUUAGCUUGUUGGCGGGGUAACGGCCCACCAAGGCGACGAUCCGUAGCUGGUCUGAGAGGACGAUCAGCCACACUGGGACUGAGACACGGCCCAG